rnacentral:misc_RNA from 1 species
ACAGAGGGAAUGUCCCUCACUCUGUCCUGUGUGAUUGUGAUUCAUGUGAUCAGUUCAUUCUGCUCAUUGAUGUGUCGUAUUUUUCCCAUCAUCCAAGAUGAAAAGGCUUCAGCAGUUUGUGGAGAAAAAGAAAGUUGAUCACAAGUUCAAGCAGGCUGGAUCUGGCCACAGACUUGACGAGCAGCGACAAAUGCCUGUUGCUACAAGUUCCCAGCAGCAGCAAGUUCGUGUGACCCCAGCACCAAGUGCAGCACGAGCUGGCGAGGCAGCCUUAGCAAGGCUUCAACCAGACCGGCCAGCAUCAGCAGCCAAAAUGAAACAACUCAAAGCAAAGGCCGCAGCCGAGAGAGAAGCAGAACAAGCGGCUAUGGACAGGAUGAACAACCCGACAGUGUCCUCGCGGGCAUCAGGCAGGUCAACUUCUCCCGAGCAGCCAGCUUUCCAUGAUGACCAAGCCCCUGUUUCUGUGAGUGGCAUCUUCUAUCAGUGCCCGCUGGGCUGUUCUCCAGUCAUUCCAAAAGCGUCGGUGGACGAACACCUGCAGAUGUGCCUGCUGACCAGGUUGCUUCCUGAAAAUCCCCUAGAGGCUUCGGCCAAAAUGGUCCACACCUAUAAUAAGGACAAGGAAAAACGCCAGGCUGGAAUAGACAUCAUGUGCAAAUAUUUAGAGAACGUGUGCAAUAAUCUUGCCGAGGAGAAGUACCAGAGGAUCCGCAUGGGUAACAAGGCCUACGUGGAGAAGGUGGCGUGUCUCGAAGGCUCACACGAGUUCUUGCAAGCGGUGGGAUUUUUACCCAAGAUGCUGCCCCACCAAGAGACGGAAGAGGCUUUCUUAGUGUUGACCCCCGAAGCAGCAGCCAACAUAGAGCAGCUGAGGUCGGCAUGCGAGCUCUUACAGACAGCCCAACCCUUGAAGGCUUCCCUCCAUCGGGACCUGAAGGUCUAUCAGAAGUCCUCUCAGGCCAGCCAGUUCCAACUGCCCCAGGACUUCUACAGAAUCAAACCGGAAGAGGCCAAGAGACAACAGCAACUCAGGACUGAGGAAGUAGAACGCAAUGCCGUGCUGCGGACCAAAGCUAUGAAGGAGGCUGAGGCACUCAGGAAUCUACGGAGAUAUCGAUACGCUCUGAUCCGAGUCCGGUUCCCCAAUGGAAUUCUCCUCCAAGGUGCUCACUUAUCAAUGACUGGCAGCCCUUCAUUCUGACUGAUGCAACAGGACUGAAACUAACGGAGGAAGACUGCAAGUUGGCUGAGCUCAAGCUGGCACCAGCGGCUGUUGUCAACUUUUCAUGGGACGCAGCGAUCAUGGAAGAAAUUGUGGCAGCCCAGGGGUUCGUGCAAGAGGGUGAUUACCUCAAACCAGAGCUCAUCAAUGCAAUCCAAAGUCUCUGAGCCGUGGAG